rnacentral:lncRNA from 1 species
GAAUUCUAUUUAGCCUUUGAAAAGGAUGAGACCCUGNNNNNNNNNNNNNNNNNNNNNNNNNGAGGCCCAGGUCAGUGAGGUCCAGGCCAGGUGAGAUCCAGGUCAGGUGAUGUCCAGGCCAGGUGAGGUCAAGGCCAGUGAGGCCCAGGCCAGGUCAGUGAAGUCCAGGCCAGGUGAGGCCCAGGGCAGGUAAGGUCCAGGCCAGGUGAUGUCCAGGGCAGGUGAGGUCCAGGCCAGGUGAUGUCCAGGUCAGGUGAGGUCCAGGGCAGGUGAGGUCCAGGCCAGGGGAGGCCCAGGUCAGGGGAGGCUCAGGUGCGUGUGCCAGGCUUCUGUGGUUUUCUCCCGGUGCCGACCUCGCCUGGCGUCCCUGCCCCUCCUCCCAGCCCCCUCUGCGCCUGCCCAUUGGCAGUCCCUGCAGGGUGGUGCUGGCUGUGGAGGGGCUGGGCUCGGCCUCCCCGUGCAUGGGCGUCCCUCUGGGCCCUGGUCUGGAGUGUGGCUGAGCUGCUUCUCUCUGGGAUGCACCGACUGUGCCCUCCUCGCUGGUCCGCGGCUCCGUGCUUGCUCCACGUCAGGCCCCAGGAGCUGCCAGCAGGGCGCCUGCCACCUGUCCGGGGAUGCCAGGGAGAAGCUGAGCCGCUCGUUCCAACGUGCUGUAACGUGUUUGUCCUGCUCUGUUCUGUUGGCGGACUUGCUGGCCCUGCGAGGCUCCGUUCACACCCUCUUCCUCCCCAGGAGAAGUCACCGCUGCUGUGUUUACGUGACCGUCUUUUCUCGGUUUUCUUUGUGGUUUUCUAACUGGGAAAUGUGUCCCUUAAGAAGGUAGCUCAUUUUGGCGGGUGUAAGUUUUCUUUAGGAGAAAUCCUAUUGAAAGUGUUUUUGGGACUUCCCUUUGUUCCUCCAAUUACUCAGCAU